rnacentral:lncRNA from 1 species
ACAUCAUCUGCAGUAGGACGGGGGAGUUGGAGCCCUGGUCAGGCCACUCUGCUACUGACCACAGUUUUCUCAUCUCUAAAAAGGCGCAGUAACAAUAUAAUUACCGUAUGCAGUCCCCCAGGAUACAGGGUCAAAGGAGAGCACAACCAUCGCAGUUGGAAGCCCAUGGGGCAGCCCAGUGCAGAUGCAUCUGACUUACGAAACUUCAGUGACACCUGCUCUGUGCCAGACACUGAAGAUGGAGCAGUGAACAGCACUGACCCAGCCUGUCCUCCUGUUGCCUGCAGGCCAGACGGAGUCUCACUCUGUCACCAGGCUGGAGUACAGUGGUGUGAUCUCGGCUCACUGCAACCUCCGCCUCCCAGGUUCAAGCGAUUCUCCUGCCUCAGCCUCUCAAGUAGCUGAGAUUACAGACGUGUGUCACCAUGCCCUGUUAAUUUUUGUUUGUUUGUUUUGUUUUUUGUUUUGUUUUGUUUCGUUUUUUGUUUUUUUUUUUUGAGACGGAGUCUUGCUCUGUCGCCCAGGCUGGAGUGCAGUGGCCCCGAUCUCGGCUCACCGCAAGCUCCGCCUCGCGGGUUCAUGCCAUUCUCCGGCCUCAGCCUCCCGAGUAGCUGGGACUACAGGCAUCCGCCACCACACCCAGCUAAUUUUUUGUAUUUUUUUUAGUAGAGACGGGGUUUCACUGUGUUAGCCAGGAUGGUCUCGAUCCCCUGACCUUGUGAUCCACCCAAGGCCUCGGCCUCCCAAAGUGCUGGGAUUACAGGCAUGAGCCACCGUGCCCGGUCAAUUUUUAUAUUUUUUGUAGAGACAGGGUUUCACCAUGUUGGCCAGGCUGGUGUCGAACUCCCGACCUCAGGUGAUUGUCGGCCUUGGCCUCCCAAAGUGCUGGGAUUACAGGCGUGAGCCACCGCGCCCAGCCGGUGGGCAGCCAGUUGUGUUCCGGGAGGAGGAGGACACCCUGGAAAGACAGUGGGGCCAGACACUGAACUGCCUUUGGAAGCAAGUAGGAGCAACAGCGAAGGUUUGCUGGCUCAGAAGCAAGGUCUCGCUGUGUUACCCUGGCUGGAGUGCAGUGGCUACUUACAGGCAUGAUCAUAGCAUACUGCAGCCUCGAACUCCUGGACUAGAGCAGUUCUCCUGCCUCAGCCUCCAGAGCAGCUGGGACUGCAGACACGCACCACAGAGCCCAGCCUGAGUCAUUUUGAUUCUGUAACUGGCUUCCUCUCGGCGGGCAGGCUCACACCCUCCACCCCCAGCUGGAGAUGGAAGGAGGAUGCUCACCGCCCAUUCCUCAUGCAGGCCAUCGAUGGAAAUGUCAGACAGUGCGAGUCCACGCCUGAACACUUCUGGGGUCCGCUCUGGGACUGACACUGGCAGAUCCAUCGAUGCCGUUCCAUUGUUUGCUGACUUUCAUUGAUUCUAUGAGAAGUCUGCAGUCUUUUGCAGCGUUGUUUUCCUAUGUAUAAUUGUCUCCUCCCACCCCACUCACCCCAGCUGCUUUCCACAUUCUCUCUCUUUGAUUUUCAGCAGUCUGCCCAUGAUGUGCCUAAAUAGGACUUUCUUUGCAUUCAUCUUGGCUGGGGCUCACUGAACUUUCUGAAUCUGUAGAUUAAUUUUCUUUUUUCAAUAAACCUU